rnacentral:rRNA from 1 species
CCUGGCUCAGGAUGAACGCUGGCGGCGUGCUUAACACAUGCAAGUCGAACGGUGAAGCCCAGCUUGCUGGGUGGAUCAGUGGCGAACGGGUGAGUAACACGUGAGCAACCUGCCCUGGACUCUGGGAUAAGCGCUGGAAACGGCGUCUAAUACUGGAUAUGAACCACGAAGGCAUCUUCAGUGGUUGGAAAGAUUUUUCGGUCUGGGAUGGGCUCGCGGCCUAUCAGCUUGUUGGUGAGGUAAUGGCUCACCAAGGCGUCGACGGGUAGCCGGCCUGAGAGGGUGACCGGCCACACUGGGACUGAGACACGGCCCAGACUCCUACGGGAGGCAGCAGUGGGGAAUAUUGCACAAUGGGCGGAAGCCUGAUGCAGCAACGCCGCGUGAGGGAUGACGGCCUUCGGGUUGUAAACCUCUUUUAGCAAGGAAGAAGCUUUUGUGACGGUACUUGCAGAAAAAGCCCGGCUAA